rnacentral:antisense_RNA from 1 species
UAUGCCCUAAAAUCUGGGCCCUGGGCAAGCACACAGCAGGAGGGACAGGCCCCCGGUGGCCACGGUGGGCUAUGGGCAGCACACGUGGGCUCCGGCGAUUGGACUGACACCGUCCCCGAGCGUCAGGGAUGGCCCUGCCAGCACCUGCCGUUCUCUGGGCCUAAGUUUCCUUGAAAGGUUGGGAAAGGUGGCCCUGACCCCCUUCCCAGCUCUGCGCACCUGAAGACUCUCGGGACCCCCACCCCAGGGCCCUGGCUUCAUUUGCUUCAUUCAGAAACACAUUGCAAAAUGGAAAAUCAAGGGUUAGGGUAAAGAAAGAAAGUAGCCAGAAAGAGCCCCCAGGCCCUCCCAAGGCGACAUGGCCAACACAGAGUUCCCAGGCCAGCCCCUGCCCUGGACGAGCGGCCUCCUGGGGCCACUGGGCCACCUAGAACAGCUCCCAGAGCUAACAGCACAAGACAGCAUAGCCACGUUCUCUGGGGAGGGGUUGGGGGACCUGGAGGCCCCCCAUGGGGUCUUGGGGAUCAAGGACGCGGCCACUCAGCUGCCCUGGGGGUCUUGGGGGUUGGUCAGUAACAUGGCCACUCGGCUGCCCUGGGGGUCUCGGGGGUCACUGACACCGACCCGUGGAUGUCCUGGGCCCCCGAGGGGGCGGCAGGCAGAGGUGCGGCGCGAGCAUGCGAGAGCGCCAGGCGGCCACCAGGGGGCAGCACCGGCCUCCCCCCGCCAACCCAGCCAUACCUUGCAGUGUGCGGUACUUACCAGGCCGCUGCCGGAGGGAGCUCUGGCCGGUCAGCUCGUGCACGAUGCAGUUAUCAGCCUCGGUGUCGGGUGCUGUGGGCACCACGUGCUGUGGGCAAGCAGCGGUGAGCCAUGCAGGGGCUGGCCGGGCGCCCCCCACGCUGGUGUCUCCACCUGCCUGGCUGCUCACCUGGUCAGACUCCCGUUCCUGGGGCCACUGGUCCAGCUCUGCUAGCUCCAGCUCCCGAGCCUCGUACCCCUUUGCCGCCUCCUUCCUCUGCAGAGACCAGCGUCUUGAGCCCAGACCAGCUCCACACCCCACCCAGAGGCAGGAGGUCCUGAGACCAGCCCCAUGGCCUGGCCUCAGCCCACCCCCCAUGGGUGGCAGGUGCUCACCUGGCCGGAGGAGCGGUACGCACGGAGCUUGCGCAGAGAGGCCGUGGCGUAGCACAGCAGCAGGAGGACGCCGGGGCUGGCAUACGCAGGCCAGUCCAGGCUGGUGUUGAGGACCAGCGCAUGGGGGCUGGAGCAGUUGGUGGGACCCACGAAGUCCUUGAGACCCAGCACCCUGUCCAGAGAAGACCCGUCACAGCCUACCACCCCAGAGGCAGUGGGGCCACAGGGGCUAGACGAGCCAGGUGGGCGGGACCAGGGCGGGAGGAAAAAGGGGCUGUGUGGCAAGCCGUUACCUAGCCCAGAUGCCGGCAGGCGGGAGCAGAGCCUGUGCCAAGGGCAUCUGGUAGCAGUAGAGGCAGAUGAGAUGGCCGGCGCCGAAGCACCCCACCGCGACGCAGAGUCUGCUGAAGCCCCGAGUGCUGAUGGGAAAGUGGCAGGCCCACCAGGUGCAGGUGGCCAGGAAGAGCAGCAGUCAUCAGGGAACUCCAAGACCCCUCCCAGUGUGACUGCCAGUGCCCCCUGCCUCGGUGCGUACCUGCCAGUGCAAGCAGCGUUACGGCCAGGACCCGCCCAGCCGCCACCAGCAGCCAGUGGGCUGUGACUCGGAAACGAGCGGCCAGCCGUGACCUCCGUGUAGGGGCCAGCGUUGCUGCUUCCUGCAGCCCUGCCGUGGGGCUGGCAUCCACAUCCCUCUCGUCAUCAUCCUGCCAAGGUCACGGACAGGGGCAAGGUCAGGUGUAUCCCACUGAGGCCACCUCUCCAGCCCACACCUGCCCAGCCAGGAGCGUGGGAGGCGGCCACAUCCACAGCUGCUCCUCUGAGGGCCACAGGACAGCCUCCCUGGGCACAGGCCCCAGCCGUCCCUGAGGUCUGCCUGACACCUUCCUACUUCCUCACUCAAGCUCACAGUUCCUGCAGGCCUUCCUGGUAGCAGCUCCCACCCUGGCCGAAGACCCAGGGUCUGUCCUGCCAAGCCCAGGCACGUGAUGACCUUGCCAGGUAUAGACAGACCACAGACUGUCCUAUAGCACCUCAUCUCCCCGAACCACACACCCAGGGAGCAGCGGGGCCCUGUCUAUACCCCGGGGGGUCUCUAGAGACCAAGGGGGCCUGAGGGACAUGGCCAGGCUCCAGGGUCUCCUGUGUACCCCUGCCAGCCUUCUGGGUGGCUCUGCCUGGAAGAUAGGGGUGGUACUCCUGCCCUCCCCAAGCCUCUGGGGGGACAGAGGUGGCCAGCUACCUAGAAGAAGUGACAGGCCGGCCUGGGGCUGGGGAGAGAGACCUGCCAGGCCUGUUUUCCCUGGACCUGACUAAAGAUUUCCCAGAACACAGCCAUUUCCCAAACACCGGGGAAAGCCAGGGUGUGGUGGAAAGAACACGGCUGUCGUCAGAUGCCCUGGCUCUGGCCUGGCUGCCACCGGCCCAGUGUCCCCAUCUGUGACUCGGGGGCUCUGCUGGUGGCUGAGGCGCCAGGUGCCCGGGCUGAGACCGCAGGCUGUGGGGCUGGACGGCAGGCCCCAUCCCAGCUCUGACAGUCUCCGCGCUCUGCAGGCCGAGGCAAUUCACAGCCUCUCGGAGCCUAUUCCCCUUCUGUCAAAUGGGAUGGGGGCUUGACGGGACAGAUGAACCAGACCAGUCCUGUCCUCACAGGCCUCCAGGGCUGCAGGGGCUGCUGGGAGGCUCCGAGGCCAGGGUAACAGGGAGAUCAGGGCAGGAGAGGCCCAGGCCCUGAGCCCACCCCUCUCAGAGACCACACAGCAGCUGGGGGCGAGGCUGGAUCAGAACACAGGGCGCCAUCGCUCACCCCACCCACAGGCUGGCCCUGGCCCUGGCCCUGGGAAAUCUUCUGAGCAGAGCCGUGAAAAAUGAGCAUUUCUGGGAGUGGAAAGAACAGAGGCAGCUGCUGUGGGAGAACAGGUGUGAGGCCACCGAGGGGCAGGCCCGGCCCUGACUUGGGGUGAGAGGCCACCGAGGGGCAGGCCCGGCCCUGACUUGGGCCCCACGUACCGCAGCCAUGCUGCAGACGCCCCUCACCUCCUCCAGCGGCCAGCGCCCCUCGGGCUGGCCGGCACACUCCGUCGCAUGCCUGCACACACGUGUGUGUGUUGCCCGUAUGUGGGAGUGAGGGUCGCCCGGGGGCCCUGCCAGGCCGGGUCAUGGGGCUUCUAGAUCUUUCGGAACGGUAUCCUGCAGGUGCCUGGUGCCCCCAGCUCACUCUGAAGUCCGUCCACGCUGGCCGCCCAGGGCGCAGCUGCACACUCAGGCUCCCAUCACACCAAGAUGAAGAUGACCAGAGUCCAGCCACCCAGCCCCUUCCCAGCAGCCAAACUCCAGGAAGCUCAUGCCCCAUGCCCCCAUCAGCAUGGAGGAGGGGCUGACGAGGGAGGGGCGGGUCUCUUGGAGGACAGGCAGCAGCACAGUCCUCAUGAGCGCUGGACCCCCUCAAAUGCCCGGAAAAGCCACUUGACCUCCAGGUCCCCGUUCCCACUUCUGAAAUGCGGGCACCAGCCUUGCCCCAUGGGGUGGCGACAGGACAGGCAGGAGGGCAGGCCGCCUCUGCAGGCUGAGCAGGUGUACUCGACCUACCGUGUGGCUUGGGGAACCCCUUUCCCUCUCGGGACUCCUCUAGAAGUUGAGGCCCAUGUGCGUGGCGAGCAUCAGCUAUCUGACGAGUGGGCACUGGGAGGGUGAGGUGGGAGGAGGCUGGGUGCCCGGGGCAGGGAGUUCGUGGGCCAGGACACCCAGGUGGCCAUAAAUCCUGGCUGAGCCUGGGGAUGGCAAGUGUGGGCCCAGGCAGGGACGAGAGGGUCUGAGCAGUCAACGUUGGGUGUCGCAGGCCCCAGCUCAUGCCCUGUCCGUGCGAGGGGGCCAUAGCUCAGAGAUUCCCGGGGCCGGACCUCCAAGUCUUGUAGCAGCUAAAGUUCACUCUGCCUCCCACUCCGAGGACAGAGGCCCUGCUUCAGGCCUGUCGCUCCUGGGGUCCAGGCCCCUGCUGGGGCUCUGGGCCGACAGCCUGUUUGCCUGUAAGUGCAUGGGGCCUGCUGGGGCCGCCCCUUCUCAGCCCUUCUGCAGUGGCUCUCCAGCCAGACACACUGCCCAGCACUGCAGGUUUCUACCACCGCGUGGCCCCAAAUAAUUCCCCUGUGAAGAGUUCCUAAGGGCACAGAUGCCAUGUUGGGGCGUGGAGGUUUCUGACUAGAAACAGAGCCCGAGUAGAAACAGGUCUGAACGGAUGGAACUGCAGGCUGGGCCCCGGGGUGGGAUUUGGAACUUCCUCCUCUCUUUAACACCAACUUACAACCAAAACGUCUACAUCUGUUUUAAAAAGAUUAAAAUAACCCUCAAAAUGGCUGAGA